GGAAAUUUUUUACCGAAAGGCCUCCAGUGUGAUUUCUGCCAAAUGAAUUGGUUCAGUCGUCAGUGCUAUUGCUGUAGACUGUAGUGAACUGCAAGGUUAGGUAUUAGUUCUUCCCUUAAAUUAUAAGCUGUGAUUGUUUCAUUAUUCAUGUUGUAUUUUGUGGAUUUAUUUGAAGUGCUUGUAGGAAUAUGGGCCAAUAUUUUCUCCCUAAUGGGUUUUGCGUGAGAUAAAAAUUGUGAAGCAACGGUCCUUUUAUUAACUGUUGGUUAGUUGAUGGUAAC
rnacentral:misc_RNA from 1 species